rnacentral:rRNA from 1 species
AUGAGUUUGCCUUGUUCGGAUCAAAGCAUUAGGCCGAGGAAAAUGAAGACUGCAAGUUUGCCUCCUGGGGUGGCAGUCCUGCGGUGUUGGUGUGGCGAUCUUUGCAAGGUGAAGGAGGUGACGAAUUUUUCAGAUUGCUUGGGCAUGAAGUUUUUCAUAUGCGCCAAUUAUGAGGAAGAUCCUGCCGUAGCUAUUUUAGAGUACGACAAGCCUCCGUCUCCUCCGCCUCUGUGCAUGUACUAUCGUUGGAUUGACACGGAGAAGCCGGCCUGGGCAGUGACUGAGAUUCGUGAAAGAAGUCGCCGUGCGUGGAAUAGUUUAUUUGCGGAAGAGCGACGCGAGAAGGCGGAAGCUGAGGAGAAAGCAGAGCAAGAGAGAGAGUUAAAAGAAUACUAUGCGGAGCAACACCGUUUUUUGAGGAAAUGGGAAAGAAAACAGGGAAGAGGCUCGUCGCAUGGAGGAGCAGGAACGACAGCGAAAGGAGGCUCGUGA